UGCGAGAUCAGCUAAUCGGCAAGCUGGCAGACUCUGAAUCUGUUCAUGUGGGUUCGACUCCUACUCUCGCAGCCA
rnacentral:tRNA from 1 species